rnacentral:rRNA from 1 species
CAGCCGCCACGGGAACACGUAGGGUGCAAGCGUUGUCCGGAAUUAUUGGGCGUAAAGAGCUCGUAGGCGGUUUGUCGCGUCUGCUGUGAAAUCCCGAGGCUCAACCUCGGGCUUGCAGUGGGUACGGGCAGACUAGAGUGCGGUAGGGGAGAUUGGAAUUCCUGGUGUAGCGGUGGAAUGCGCAGAUAUCAGGAGGAACACCGAUGGCGAAGGCAGAUCUCUGGGCCGUAACUGACGCUGAGGAGCGAAAGCGUGGGGAGCGAACAGGAUUAGAUACCCGAGUAGUCCCUGUCUCUUAUAU